rnacentral:rRNA from 1 species
CAAGUCGAACGAGAAUGAGGGGGCAACUCCUCUAGUAAAGUGGCGGACGCGGUGCGUAACACGUAGGUAAUCAACCCUUUGGCGGGGGACAACUAGUCCGAAAGGAUUGCUAAUACCGCAUAAGUCGGCGGGAUCUCCGGAUCCUGUCGGGAAAGAUGGCCUCUUCUUGAAAGCCAUCUCCAAAGGACGAGCCUGCGGCCCAUCAGCUAGUUGGUGAGGUAAUGGCUCACCAAGGCAUAGACGGGUAACUGGUCUGAGAGGAUGAUCAGCCACACUGGGACUGCGACACGGCCCAGACUCCUACGGGAGGCAGCAGUGGGGAAUAUUGGGCAAUGGGCGAAAGCCUGACCCAGCCACGCCGCGUGAGUGAUGAAGGCCUUCGGGUCGUAAAGCUCUGUGGGGAGGGACGAAAAUACUCUGCCUAAUACGCAGGGGACUGACGGUACCUCCUUAGCAAGCACCGGCUAACCAUGUGCCAGCAGCCGCGGUAAUACAUGGGGUGCAAACGUUGCUCGGAAUCAUUGGGCGUAAAGCGCACGUAGGCGGUUCGUUAUGUCGGAUGUGAAAGCCCUCGGCUUAACCGGGGAAGUGCAUCCGAAACUGGCGAGCUUGAGUACUAAAGAGGGUCGCGGAAUUCCCGGUGUAGAGGUGAAAUUCGUAGAUAUCGGGAGGAACACCAGCGGCGAAGGCGGCGACCUGGGUAGAUAC